rnacentral:rRNA from 1 species
GACGAACGCUGGCGGCGUGCUUAACACAUGCAAGUCGUACGGGAAGGCCCUUUCGGGGGUCCACGAGUGGCGAACGGGUGAGUAACACGUGAGUAACCUGCCCACAACUUUGGGAUAACGCUAGGAAACUGGUGCUAAUACUGGAUAUGUGCUCCUGCUGCAUGGUGGGGGUUGGAAAGCUCCGGCGGUUGUGGAUGGACUCGCGGCCUAUCAGCUUGUUGGUGGGGUAGUGGCCUACCAAGGCGGCGACGGGUAGCCGGCCUGAGAGGGUGACCGGCCACAUUGGGACUGAGAUACGGCCCAGACUCCUACGGGAGGCAGCAGUGGGGAAUAUUGCACAAUGGGCGCAAGCCUGAUGCAGCAACGCCGCGUGCGGGAGGACGGCCUUCGGGUUGUAAACCGCUUUCAGCAGGGACGAAGCUUUUUGUGACGGUACCUGCAGAAGAAGCACCGGCUAACUACGUG